rnacentral:rRNA from 1 species
GGUCAAGUUAUUAAGGGUGCAGGGCGGAUGCCUUGGCACUAGGAGCCGAUGAAAGACGUGAUAAGCUGCGAUAAGCUUCGGGGAGUGGCACAUACACUUUGAUCCGGAGAUUUCUGAAUGAGGAAACUCACUUGGAGUAAUGUCCAAGUAUCCUUAGGUGAAUACAUAGCCUAAGGAGGGGAACUCAGGGAACUGAAACAUCUAAGUACCUGAAGGAAGAGAAAGAAAUUCGAUUCCGCUAGUAGCGGCGAGCGAACGCGGAAGAGCCCAAACCAAGUUAGUUUACUAAUUUGGGGUUGCGGACAUAUCUUAAGGAGUAGUUAUUGCGAGUGGAAGAGUUCUGGAAAGUUCUACCACAGAGGGUAAUAGUCCCGUACACAAAGCCAAGAAGACUCUUGAUAUGAUCCAGAGUACCACGAGACACGUGAAACCUUGUGGGAAGCAGGGGGGACCACCCCCCAAGGCUAAAUACUACCUAGUGACCGAUAGCGUAUAGUACCGUGAGGGAAAGGUGAAAAGAACCCCGGGAGGGGAGUGAAAUAGAACCUGAAACCCUGCACUUACAAUCUGUGGGAGCGCAUUACUGGCGUGACCGCGUACUUUUUGUAGAACGGGCCAACGAGUUACGUUAUGUGGCAAGGUUAAGCACUUAAGGUGUGGAGCCGUAGCGAAAGCGAGUCUUAACUGGGCGACAUAGUCACAUGACGUAGACCCGAAACCGGGCGACCUACCCAUGAGCAGGAUGAAGCGAAAGUAAAAUUUCGUGGAGGUCCGAACCCACGUACGUUGAAAAGUGCGGGGAUGACUUGUGGGUAGCGGUGAAAUUCCAAUCGAGCUCGGAGAUAGCUGGUUCUCCUCGAAAUAGCUUUAGGGCUAGCCUUGAAUGUAGAGAUGUGGAGGUAGAGCACUGAAUGUCCUAGGGGGUAUUGCACUUACCGAAGACUAUCAAACUCCGAAUGCCAUAAUCUUUUAUUCAGGAGUCAGACUAUGGGUGAUAAGGUUCAUAGUCGAAAGGGAAAGAGCCCAGACCGUCAGCUAAGGUCCCUAAAUGUAUGUUAAGUGGUAAAGGAUGUGGGAUUGCAUAGACAACCAGGAUGUUGGCUUAGAAGCAGCCAUUCAUUUAAAGAGUGCGUAAUAGCUCACUGGUCGAGUGAUCCUGCGCCGAAGAUUUCCGGGGCUAAAACAUACUACCGAAGCUACGGCAUCGAAAGAUGGGUAGAGGAGCUUCCCAUGCAGGAUGAAGCAGUACCGUAAGGAGCUGUGGACAGUAUGGGAGAGAGAAUGUUGGCAUGAGUAGCGAGAUGAAGGUGAGAAUCCUUCAGGCCGUAAACCCAAGGUUUCCAGGGGAAGGUUCGUCCUCCCUGGGUUAGUCGGGACCUAAGCUCAGGCCGAAAGGCGUAGGCGAUGGACAACAGGUUGAAAUUCCUGUACUACCGAUAAUCGUUUGAGAGAUGGGAUGACACAGUAGGAUAAGCUGAGCACACUGUUGGUUAUGUGUGUCUAAGUAUUGAGGCAGAUCGAAUAGGCAAAUCCGUUUGAUUAAUGCUAGGAUACGAUGGGGAGCGAAACUAAGUAGCGAAGCAGCUGAUUUCACACUGUCGAGAAAAGUCUCUAUCGAGAUUAAAGGUACCCGUACCGCAAACCGACACAGGUGGGUGAGGAGAGUAUCCUAAGGCCAGCGAGAGAACUGUUGUUAAGGAACUCGGCAAAAUGACCCCGUAACUUAGGGAUAAGGGGUGCCCCAGAAAUGGGGCCGCAGAGAAUUGGCCCAAGCGACUGUUUACCAAAAACAUAGGUUUCUGCUAAGUCGCAAGACGAUGUAUAGGAGCUGACGCCUGCCCGGUGCUGGAAGGUUAAGGGGAUCUGUUAGAGCAAUCGAAGCAGUGAUCUUAAGCCCCAGUAAACGGCGGCCGUAACUAUAACGGUCCUAAGGUAGCGAAAUUCCUUGUCGGGUAAGUUCCGACCCGCACGAAAGGCGUAACGAUUUGGG